rnacentral:misc_RNA from 1 species
UCCGGUUUGUCACCGGCAGUCUCACUAGAGUGCCCAACUUAAUGCUGGCAACUAGUAAUAAGGGUUGCGCUCGUUGCGGGACUUAACCCAACAUCUCACGACACGAGCUGACGACAACCAUGCACCACCUGUCAUUCUGUCCCCGAAGGGAACCUCUAAUCUCUUAGACUGUCAGAAGAUGUCAAGACCUGGUAAGGUUCUUCGCGUAGCUUCGAAUUAAACCACAUGCUCCACCGCUUGUGCGGGCCCCCGUCAAUUCUUUUGAGUUUCAACCUUGCGGUCGUACUCCCCAGGCGGAUUACUUAAUGCGUUAGCUGCAGCACUGAAGGGCGGAAACCCUCCAACACUUAGUAAUCAUCGUUUACGGCAUGGACUAC